rnacentral:SRP_RNA from 2 species
UCGUGCUAGAUGGGGAGUUAGCGGUGCCCUGUAACCCGCAACCCGCUACAGCGGGAUCGAAUUCCCAUCCCGAGGAUCGCACUUGCGUCGCCGGUAUGCGCUGCAUCCGGUAUUGAAAGUCAGGUCCCGCGCAACGUGACAACGCCCAACCCCGUCAGGACCGGAAGGUAGCAGCGGUAAGCGCCUGAAGCGUGUGCCGUGGGAGCGCCUGGCCGGAGCCGGCGGCACGGAUGCCUCGAUACGAGUAGAUUCGAGGGUGGGUGCACGA